AAGUGGAAUGCCGAAAAAAUACAAAUCCAAGAAAUAUAAUGGAAAAAUGCAGAGUUUGCUUGCUAAAAUACCAAAACAUGGUCAAUUUUUAAGCAAUCUGUGGAGCGUGAGAUUUCCUUGGCUGAUAUGAUUGCGCAGUCCACCGGCUUUUCAGUUCAAAAAGGAGACCCAUUUUCCGAAUUUAUUUGUGCAUCCUCGUCCGUG
rnacentral:sRNA from 1 species